UCAGAUCCCGACCCGCAAAACAGAGGUCUUCUCUAGCUUGCUGGUGGCAGACCAGGAAAGAAAGAUUUGGAAGUGUUGUAGGCACGGGAUGUGGUCCUGCACUGGAAACCCACUCAUCCAGCAGUGUGGAGCAUCCCAGCAUAGCUGUUCCUGACACUGUAAAGAACAAAACUGCCCAUAAAGUUCCCAAACUUAGAGGGCAGAUCCAUAACAAUGUAGCUCAGCGGUGCAACAGAUUCGAGAAGCAAUUAGAUU